AUGAACGCUAGCUACAGGCUUAACACAUGCAAGUCGAGGGGCAGCAUGGUCUUAGCUUGCUAAGGCCGAUGGCGACCGGCGCACGGGUGAGUAACACGUAUCCAACCUGCCGUCUACUCUUGGACAGCCUUCUGAAAGGAAGAUUAAUACAAGAUGGCAUCAUGAGUCCGCAUGUUCACAUGAUUAAAGGUAUUCCGGUAGACGAUGGGGAUGCGUUCCAUUAGAUAGUAGGCGGGGUAACGGCCCACCUAGUCUUCGAUGGAUAGGGGUUCUGAGAGGAAGGUCCCCCACAUUGGAACUGAGACACGGUCCAAACUCCUACGGGAGGCAGCAGUGAGGAAUAUUGGUCAAUGGGCGAGAGCCUGAACCAGCCAAGUAGCGUGAAGGAUGACUGCCCUAUGGGUUGUAAACUUCUUUUAUAAAGGAAUAAAGUCGGGUAUGGAUACCCGUUUGCAUGUACUUUAUGAAUAAGGAUCGGCUAACUCCGUGCCAGCAGCCGCGGUAAUACGGAGGAUCCGAGCGUUAUCCGGAUUUAUUGGGUUUAAAGGGAGCGUAGAUGGAUGUUUAAGUCAGUUGUGAAAGUUUGCGGCUCAACCGUAAAAUUGCAGUUGAUACUGGAUAUCUUGAGUGCAGUUGAGGCAGGCGGAAUUCGUGGUGUAGCGGUGAAAUGCUUAGAUAUCACGAAGAACUCCGAUUGCGAAGGCAGCCUGCUAAGCUGCAACUGACAUUGAGGCUCGAAAGUGUGGGUAUCAAACAGGAUUAGAUACCCUGGUAGUCCACACGGUAAACGAUGAAUACUAGCUGUUUGCGAUAUACGGCAAGCGGCCAAGCGAAAGCGUUAAGUAUUCCACUUGGGGAGUACGCCGGCAACGGUGAAACUCAAAGGAAUUGACGGGGGCCCGCACAAGCGGAGGAACAUGUGGUUUAAUUCGAUGAUACGCGAGGAACCUUAUCCGGGCUUAAAUUGCAGAUGAAUUACGGUGAAAGCCGUAAGCCGCAAGGCAUCUGUGAAGGUGCUGCAUGGUUGUCGUCAGCUCGUGCCGUGAGGUGUCGGCUUAAGUGCCAUAACGAGCGCAACCCUUGUUGUCAGUUAAUAACAGGAUUUGUUGAGGACUCUGACAAGACUGCCAUCGUAAGAUGUGAGGAAGGUGGGGAUGACGUCAAAUCAGCACGGCCCUUACGUCCGGGGCUACACACGUGUUACAAUGGGGGGUACAGAGGGCCGCUACCACGCGAGUGGAUGCCAAUCCCAAAAACCUCUCUCAGUUCGGACUGGAGUCUGCAACCCGACUCCACGAAGCUGGAUUCGCUAGUAAUCGCGCAUCAGCCACGGCGCGGUGAAUACGUUCCCGGGCCUUGUACACACCGCCCGUCAAGCCAUGGGAGCCGGGGGUACCUGAAGUGCGUAACCGCGAGGAGCGCCCUAGGGUAAAACUGGUGACUGGGGCUAAG
rnacentral:rRNA from 1 species